rnacentral:rRNA from 1 species
CAGAACGUCACAGAGGGUGAGAAUCCCGUGCGAUGAGAUGAUCCAGGCCUAUGUAAAGUUCCUUCGAAGAGUCGAGUUGUUUGGGAAUGCAGCUCUAAGUGGGUGGUAAAUUCCAUCUAAAGCUAAAUAUUGGCGAGAGACCGAUAGCGAACAAGUACAGUGAUGGAAAGAUGAAAAGAACUUUGAAAAGAGAGUGAAAAAGUACGUGAAAUUGUUGAAAGGGAAGGGCUUGAGAUCAGACUUGGUAUUUUGUAUGUUACUUCUUCGGGGGUGGCCUCUACAGUUUAUCGGGCCAGCAUCAGUUUGGGCGGUAGGAGAAUUGCGUUGGAAUGUGGCACGGCUUCGGUUGUGUGUUAUAGCCUUCGUYGAUACUGCCAGCCUAGACUGAGGACUGCGGUUUAUACCUAGGAUGUUGGCAUAAUGAU